rnacentral:rRNA from 1 species
UGGCGACCGGCGCACGGGUGAGUAACGCGUAUCCAACCUGCCCUUUACUAUGGGACAGCCCGUCGAAAGGCGGAUUAAUACCGUAUGUUGUCAUGUUGAUGCAUAUUUCCAUGACCAAAGGCUUCGGCCGGUAAAGGAUGGGGAUGCGUCUGAUUAGCUUGCCGGCGGGGUAACGGCCCACCGGGGCGACGAUCAGUAGGGGUUCUGAGAGGAAGGUCCCCCACAUUGGAACUGAGACACGGUCCAAACUCCUACGGAAGGCAGCAG